rnacentral:rRNA from 1 species
AGGAUGAACGCUGGCGGCGUGCCUAACACAUGCAAGUCGCACGGGCGCCUUCGGGUGUCAGUGGCGGACGGGUGAGUAACGCGUAGGUAUCUGUCCUUGGGUGGGGGAUAACCGUGGGAAACUGCGGCUAAUACCGCAUGACACCUGUGGGUCAAAGGCGAGAGUCGCCUGGGGAGGAGCCUGCGUACGAUUAGCUUGUUGGUGGGGUAAAGGCCUACCAAGGCGACGAUCGUUAGCUGGUCUGAGAGGAUGAUCAGCCACACUGGGACUGAGACACGGCCCAGACUCCUACGGGAGGCAGCAGUGGGGAAUAUUGGACAAUGGGCGCAAGCCUGAUCCAGCAAUGCCGCGUGGAUGAAGAAGGUUUUCGGAUUGUAAAGUCCUUUCGGCGGGGACGAUGAUGACGGUACCCGCAGAAGAAGCUCCGGCUAACUUCGCGCCAGCAGCCGC